rfam:Oryza brachyantha chromosome 11, whole genome shotgun sequence.
AAUAAAAUCAUUUUUUGUUUUUCCGUGUCCAACGUUCGAUCAUUCGUCUUAUUUGAAAAAAAUUUGUGAUUAAUAUUUUUGUUCUUACUAGAUGAUAAAAUAUAAAUAGUACUUUAUGCGUAACUAAUUUUUUUAAGUUUUUAUACAAAUUUUUGAAAUAAGACGAAUGGUGAAACGUUGGACACGGAAAAAUGAAAAAUGAUCUUAUU